rnacentral:rRNA from 1 species
UACAGAGGUCUCAACCGUUGUUCGGAUUCAUUGGGCGUAAAGGGCGCGUAGGCGGUCAGCACAAGUCAGUUGUGAAAUCUCUGGGCUUAACCCGGAAAGGUCAACUGAUACUGUGCGACUAGAGUGCGGAAGGGGCAACUGGAAUUCUCGGUGUAGCGGUGAAAUGCGUAGAUAUCGAGAGGAACACCUGCGGCGAAGGCGGGUUGCUGGGCCGACACUGACGCUGAUGCGCGAAAGCCAGGGGAGCGAACGGG